CUAAGAAUAUUCCGCCAUGGACGGAAGUCUGACGGAGCGACGCCGCGUGGAUGAAGAAGGCCGAAAGGUUGUAAAGUUCUUUUGCUAGGGGAGGAUAAGUGUGGGAGGGAGUGCCUGCACGAUGACAAGGACGAGCGAAUAAGUCCCGGUCAACUACGUGCCAGCAGCCGCGGUAACACGUAGGGGGCGAGCGUUGUUCGGAAUUACUGGGCGUAAAGGGCAUGUAGGCGGCUUGGUAAGCCUGGCGUGAAAGUCUGCAGCUUAACUGUAGGGAUGCGUUGGGAACUGCUUAGCUUGAGUUACGGAGAGGGAGCUGGAAUUCCUGGUGUAGGGGUGAAAUCUGUAGAUAUCAGGAAGAACACCGAUGGCGAAGGCUAGCUUCUGGCCGACAACUGACGCUGAGGUGCGAAAGUGUGGGGAUCAAACAGG
rnacentral:rRNA from 2 species